rnacentral:rRNA from 1 species
UACGUAGGGUGCAAGCGUUGUCCGGAAUUAUUGGGCGUAAAAGAGCUCGUAGGCGGUCUGUCGCGUCUGCUGUGAAAACUCAGGGCUUAACCCUGAGCUUGCAGUGGGUACGGGCAGACUAGAGUGCGGUAGGGGAGACUGGAAUUCCGUGGUGUAGCGGUGAAAUGCGCAGAUAUCAGGAGGAACACCGGUGGCGAAGGCGGGUCUCUGGGCCGAUACUGACGCUGAGGAGCGAA